ACGUAGGGGACGAGCGUUGUCCGGAAUUACUGGGCGUAAAGGGCGCGCAGGCUGUUUGACAAGUCAGCUGUUAAAUAUGGGGGCUUAACCCUUAUAUGCGGUUGAAACUAUCAGACUGGAGUGCUGUAGAGGCAAGUGGAAUUCCCAGUGUAGCGGUGAAAUGCGUAGAUAUUGGGAAGAACACCGGUGGCGAAGGCGACUUGCUGGGCAGCAACUGACGCUGAGGCGCGAAAGCCAGGGGAGCAAACGG
rnacentral:rRNA from 1 species